rnacentral:rRNA from 1 species
UGCCAGCAGCCGCGGUAAUACGUAGGGGGCUAGCGUUGUCCGGAUUUAUUGGGCGUAAAGAGCGUGUAGGCGGCCAGGUAGGUCUGCUGUGAAAACUCGAGGCUCAACCUCGAGACGUCGGCGGAAACCAUCUGGCUAGAGUCCGGAAGAGGAGAGUGGAAUUCCUGGUGUAGCGGUGAAAUGCGCAGAUAUCAGGAAGAACACCCGUGGCGAAGGCGGCUCUCUGGGACGGUACUGACGCUGAGACGCGAAAGCGUGGGGAGCGAACAGGAUUAGAUA